CUGGUUGAUCCUGCCAGUAGUCAUAUGCUUGUCUUAAAGAUUAAGCCAUGCAUGUCUAAGUAUAAAUAGUAUACAGUGAAACUGCGAAUGGCUCAUUAAAACAGUUAUAGUUUAUUUGAUAAUUGAAUUAUACAUGGAUAACCGUGGUAAUUCUAGAGCUAAUACAUGCAGUAAACCUGACUUUUUGGAAAGGUUGUAUUUAUUAGAUAUCAAACCAAUAUUCCUUCGGGUCUAUUGUGAUGAUUCAUAAUAACUGAUCGAAGCUUAGCUAGUCUAAGCUAAAUCAUUCAAGUUUCUGCCCUAUCAGCUUUCGAUGGUAGUGUAUUGGACUACCAUGGCAGUCACGGGUAACGGGGAAUUAGGGUUCGAUUCCGGAGAGGGAGCCUGAGAAACGGCUACCACAUCUAAGGAAGGCAGCAGGCGCGUAAAUUACCCAAUCCUGACUCAGGGAGGUAGUGACAAGAAAUAACAACUCGGGGCCUCACGGCUUACGAGAUUGCAAUGAGAACAAUUUAAACCACUUAUCUAGGAACAAUUGGAGGGCAAGUCUGG
rnacentral:rRNA from 1 species